rnacentral:rRNA from 1 species
AUUGAACGCUGGCGGCAGGCUUAACACAUGCAAGUCGAGCGAGCGGCGGACGGGUGAGUAAUGUCUGGGAAACUGCCUGAUGGAGGGGGAUAACUACUGGAAACGGUAGCUAAUACCGCAUACCAUCAGAUGUGCCCAGAGGGCAUGAGCUAGUAGGUGGGGGAAUGUCUCACCUAGGCGACGAUCCCUAGCUGUUCUGAGAGGAUGACCAGCCACACUGGAACUGGGACACGGUCCAGACUCCUACGUGAGGCAGCAGGGGGGAAGAUUGCACAAUGGGCGCAAGCCUGAUGCAGCCAUGCCGCGUGUGUGAAGAAGGCCUUCGGGUUGUAAAGCACUUUCAGCGAUGAGGCGUUACUCGCAGAAGAAGCACCGGCUAACUCCGUGCCAGCAGCCGCGGUAAUUC